UACGGAGGGUGCAAGCGUUGUUCGGAAUCACUGGGCGUAAAGCGCGUGUAGGUGGUCUUUUAAGUCUGGUGUGAAAGCCCGGGGCUUACCCCCGGAAGGGCACUGGAGACUGGGAGACUAGAGUACCGGAGAGGAAGGUGGAAUUCCUGGUGUAGCGGUGAAAUGCGUAGAUAUCGGGAGGAACACCAGUGGCGAAAGCGGCUCUCUGGGGGCGAUCUGACGCUGAGGCGCGAAAGCGUGGGGAGCAAACCGG
rnacentral:rRNA from 1 species